rnacentral:lncRNA from 1 species
GGGUUGCAAGAAGAGGUGACUUUUACCAGAUGAAAUGGAGAAAGCCCUUGGGCAAAGAGAUGCAGGUGCUGGCCUUUGGAAUUGUUCAAAUUUCACUGAAAUGGUUUUGGCUGAGAGGAUAAGGGUCAAUUGAGUUUCUGAGCAUUUUGAAAACUGAGACUACUUUUUAAUUACUUUCAAAUUAAGGAACAUUCAAUACUACAGCACCUUUUGUGAAGUAAAUUAAAACCAUUUUCUGAGAUACAUAGUCUGGAUUUCCUCCUACUCCUGUUGCUAGGAGGAAGAAAAAGAGAACAAGAAAGAUAGUAAAUAAUUCAACCUUAAAUUCUAUGUAAUAUACCACCCUUCUGCCUUAUCUUAGGCUAAAUUAGCAUAUUUCAAAUAUUCUAAACAAUGAAAUGAAAAAAUAAGGGACGGGAUUUCAGAGAACUCCAACUUAAUGAUGCAGCAGUCAACCAGCUGUUACCAACAGUUUCUUUCCAGAAUGAAGUACUGAUUUGACAGUGAUUGGUUACCCCACAGAGACUGUCUUGGUAUCAAGAAAUCCAAAUAAGCUGAUCACAGUGAAAUCUGAUCUCUCAGGGACCACUUCUGUCUGCAAAUGAAGGGGAGCCAUUUGACCAGCUAUUAGGAUCUGGGGCUUUGGACUCUGACAGCACUGGGUUCAAAUCCCUAUUACCAAUGAGUAAUUGUCUGAAAGCAGACUUCUUAACCUUCUUCACCUGUGUGUUUUGCUGUCUAAGAAUGGUGCCCUUUUCACUGAGCUCAGUGGAUCCCUCACAUUCUUCUCAUCAGAGAGUUCUGGGCAAAAACUUGGAGGCCCAACUUUAAAGUUGAAUAAUAACUGCAACAGUGAGGUAUCCCUUAUUUGUGACCUGUGGAACUUUUACUCGACCCCGCCUUCUGUUCCUAUGAUAACAACCACAACCAUGGCAACAAUAACACUGAUAUGGACAGGAGACAGGGAGACAUUGGGUAGGAGAGGGCAGUUCCUUGGCAAAGGCCCCACUCUCAAGCGUGGAAAUCCACAGCCUGGAAACCCACAGCCCUCAGUGAGAAAAAGUGUUUCUGUUUUUGUACCCAAAAAGUUGCCUUUUGGUACACUACACUUCCCUAUCCUGUACCCAUAUAAACCCUGAACCCUGGGCUCCAAAAGGAGAUGAGCAAGCAGAACAACGGCAGAAUGGCAGAGCAGAAAAGAAGAGAAGAAGCAUCUGAAUGUCAAGAGGAGCACAGCUGGGGACAAUCAGAGAGAUCAGCUGCUGGACCGCCAAACCCUAGGGGAAGAUCAUUUUCCCACUCUGUCCCCCUUCCAGCUCCCCAUUCAUCCUGCUGAGAGCUACCUCCACCACUCAAUAAAACCCUGCAUUCAUUCUUCAAGUCCCUGUGUGACCUGGUUCUUCCUGGUUGCUGGACAAGGAACUGGGUCCCAAGGGGGUCCACUGAGCCGUCUAACACUUAAACCACCUGCAGGUGGCAAGGCUAAAAGAACACAUUCUAACAUGUGCCCACUUGGGCUUUGGGAGUUGAAGACACCCAACCCAACCCCAUGGCUACCAUGGGGCCAGAGCCCCCAAAACACUAGCCCUGGCUCCUGCACCUGUCCAUCUGUGUGCCCCUACUCUCUUAAGGGGUUUGAGCAUGGCAGCUGAACAAAUGAGCUACACCCAUGUCACAUGUCCUGCAAGGGGGGGUCAGGGAACUCUCCUGUUUCAGCACUGUGCACCAGACAUGGUGUAAGUUCUUUGGAUAUACCAACUCAUUCAUUUCUUACUAUAACCCCAGGAAGUCAAUAACUUCAUAUUAUACCACAC